UGUUGAGGUCUUUGAUCCACUUGGACUUUAGUUUUGUGCAGGGUGAUAAAUAUGGAUCUAUUUGCAAUCUUCUACAAGUACACAGCCAGUUAGACCAACACCGAUUAUUGAGGAUUUUUUUUUUCCGUUAUAUGGUUUUGACUUCUUUGUCAAAAAUCAAGUGUCCGUAGGUACCACACAGUUUAAUUGAAGCACUAAAACAGCAUAUAGCUUCUUUGGAAUUGGAAAAAAUGACAUACUGUCUCCUUUUAGCCUGAAGCAUGCACUUGUGCCAUUCAUUCUAAAUAGUCCAGUUGUGAAAGCUUCAAGAAGUUCUUGCUUUGCAGGCAAUAUGAUUAUGAUUUGUUGGUAUAAUGUUCUUUUAGAAUGUAUACAAUUUACCCUUGUUCAUUCAAAUGCUGAUUUCUCUACCCCACUAUCUGGUUUUAAUCCGGACAUUGCAUUGCGAUGUUUAUUCUAAGCAUCACCUGUAUCAAGUUUGUGUAAACAUGCAACCAUUUGUUCUCUGUAUUGUCAAUAAAACAACCAGCCACAAUGCUGAGCAAUGGAAAGAAUACGGUGGGACAUCCUGGUUCAGAGGGGAGGAGAAAGAAGCAAGUGGAGGAGGAGCAGAGAUUGGCAGGAGGGGAUUUCGAACCAUGAGGAGAAAUGAACCCGACCUAAGAUAUGAUUAAAAGCAAGUUUAAUGGGUGAAAUCUGAAUGGUAGAAAACUACGCAGGCUUGGAGGUUUAGGAUGCAAUAACUGUUGCCCAG